UCUCUAGCCUCCCUAAACCCCUCCCAAGUCUAGGGAACCUCCCUAUCAUGAGAAGAAAGCCCCGGAGCGCCCGACGGCUCCGAGAAGAAAAGCUUUCGACUCGGAAACGCUGCUCCAACGAAGCCCGGUUUUUAAUAAAAACCCAUUGUUUUGGUCAAGGAAAAAUUGUUUUAAGAAGUAACGAAGAGCUGUCCGAGUGCCGAGUCACCACCUUACCAGGUAGUGGCGCUUGAGCAUAGAUAUGAUGUUGGACGAGGGAUUACGGAUAUAGGCCUGUAGAUAUGAAAUAAUGUAGUAAGGCUUAUAUUGUACUGUUUAUGCUUUUGAUCUGUACGAACAUGACAUCCCAAGUCUUUUAAUGAAAUACAUUUCUACGGAAA